rnacentral:lncRNA from 1 species
AAGUUACCAUAAUUACCUUUUAUUAUUGUGGACUGAAAUAAAAAGUCUAGGUGACAUUAGUGGAGGAGCUUAUCAAUAAUCGGUGUGAGGAGGUCGAACCCCAGGAAACCAUUCCACAGAGCCCUCUGAUGGGGCUGCUCGAGGGUUGUGGGGCUAGGUGCAGCCUAUAUGGCUUUUUCAUAAACGGCGCAUGUGCAGGGAAGAGGAACAGAAAAAACAAAUCAAAAAAAGGGGGUAGAGCCUAUUUGGGCUUCUCUCUACAUUUAUAGCGAAGGUGACACAAACGAGAAUUCCUUGGUUAUUAUAUGUCAAACAAGUUCAGAGAUGCUGACGUUAUCUGUGUGUGGAGGGGGGUGAGGAUCAGGGUCCUUGACUAUUCCCUCGAUCUCUAAGAACGCAGCUGGGGAGAGUGAGAGUGAGCCACCCUUUAUCUCUUCCUGCUGUGGCUCUGUCCGGCGGCCUCCUGGGUCAGGAGGUGUGGGGUUCAAGGUCAUUUGACACAGACUGACCAUGGUCUGCAUGGCCGCUUCCCAGGACAGCGUGGAUGUUACUGCACUGACUUAAAGCCUAUGCGGUUUGCUCGCUAGAUUCACCCAGCAGGGAGACGGGUCCCAAAAAUCCAUCCACAGUCCCUCCUUUUGGUCAUUAUCAACCCACACCUGCAGUCAUGACCAAAGGGGUGUUCCUUUGGUUUUUCUCUGACAUGGUGGGGUCCUCUCAUUUCCCUACUUAUCUUACAUGUCAUUUAUUAAAAACGCAUUCAGGGUUGUUUUUACCUUCCUAGCUAACAAGAUCCAGGUCUCAUCCUAUUGUUUCCUCCUUCCACACCUAGCGUAACAUUGGAACAAUAUGAUAAUUAACACAAUCAAAAUGACAAUUGUGAAGACAGUUCUUAUCAUUUUUCUCCCCAAAAUGUUCCCUGGCGGAAUUUCCUUGGAGAUUUUCCUCAGGGUGUGCCCUAGAUGAUAGAUGUAUCCUGUGGAGUCAGGAUUAAUAGGAGGGCCUAAAACAGGUUUGUGUAAGGUGGAUCUUAGACUCUGGGUCUUAGAGUUACACGUGAGUAUUUGACUUAUGGGCUCACAAUGUUUUGGACUCAAAAGUGGCAACCUUUUCCCAAGACCAGUGGUUAGUAUCUAAGAAUGGAGAUGACUUGGAAAGACAAAUGUUGUGACAAGUGUAGGUGUGUCCAGUGAGAAACAAAAAUAAUGCAUAUUGUCCCUUACUUACUGGCCUGGUCCGGACUCUUGGGAGAGCUGUCCACAUCGGCUGUCGGCUGCUGCCAUCCUGGUCUCGUUGGUGUAGGUUCAGUCAUAAAUCUGAAACACGCUCUGAGGACACUCUGGUGUAGGCGCCCUUUUUAAGUGAGAAUUGUAGAUCCAAGAGUUUAUUCCCUGUCAUUUAGCUGCGCAGGAAUUAGAAGGACUUGAUAGGUCCUUCCCAUUUAGGCUGCAAAGUUUUUCAAAUGGUGACAUUUUCAGUAAACGCAGUCACAGGCUGUGAAUGAUGAGUGCAUAUCUUCCUCCAGGGGUGAGUUUGCGGCGUAUGCAUCAGCAACCAAUUCUGAGUGUUCCUUUAAGAGUUUGGUUAAGAUUUUACAAGAAUGAAGUAUGUCACCUUUUAGUAAUGAAGGUUCAUAUAAUCCUUUAUCUAGAGGCAUAGGUCUCCCAGUAAUGAUCUCAAAUGGAGACAACUGAUGUUUGCCGAGGGUGUUGAUCUUAGGUUAACAAUACCAGUGGAAGGGCUUUAGGCCAUGGUAGAGAAAAUGCAUCUGUGAGCUGAGCCAGUUGAGUCUUAAUUAUGCCAUUUAUUCCUUCCAUUAGGCCUGACAAUUGGGGGUAAUAACUGCAGAGAAGACGCUGCAAAAUAGGCCAGAUUCUAGAAAUUUCCUUUAUACUCUGUCUGGUGAGAUGAGUCCCAGGUCACUGCAUGCUUCCACUGGACUCCUCAUGCUGGUAAUAGUUUACUUACUGACUGAGCAGUAGCCCUUGGGCAUGGAAAUGCUUCCGCCCAAUGAGAGAAGAUGCCAAUCAUCACAAGUACAUGUUGGUACCUCGGGAGAGAGGCAUUUGGAUAAACUCCACCUGCUGAGUUUCAAGCAGUCCAGCACGGCUUGACAAGCGGUGCCAUGUCUGCACUCGGGAUCUGAACCAGCGAACCCUGGGCUGCUGAGAAGCGGAAUAUGCUAACUUAACCGCCGUGCCACCGCGCCGGCCCCAAGAAAAAUCUAUUAUAACCUCUUUAUCAAGAGCAGACCAAAAUUUCAAGAUCAUCCUUUCAAGAGAAA